UACCGAUGAAGUAAAGGGCAAGCUUUGAAGAUAUUUUAGAUUAAUUAUUGGGUGAGCAAAGGAUUGACCUUAUGGUAAUCCUUAAUAUUGCUUUGGUGAGAGGCGAUAGUUCAGGUGGUGGCCCAUCAGGGAA